AACGAACGCUGGCGGCGUGGAUAAGACAUGCAAGUCGUACGGGGGAUUCCGGUAGCAAUACUGGCCUCCCCAGUGGCGCACGGGUGAGUAACACGUGAGUUACCUGCCCUGCAGCGGGGGAUAGCCCGCCGAAAGGUGGAUUAAUACCCCAUGGCCUCCCGCGCAAGCGGGAGUAAAGGCGGCGCAAGCUGCCGCUGCAGGAUCGGCUCGCGGCCUAUCAGCUAGUUGGCGGGGUAACGGCCCACCAAGGCGACGACGGGUACCUGGUCUGAGAGGACGAUCAGGCACACUGGAACUGAGACACGGUCCAGACUCCUACGGGAGGCAGCAGUGGGGAAUUUUGGACAAUGGGGGCAACCCUGAUCCAGCCAUGCCGCGUGAGUGAAGAAGGCCUUCGGGUUGUAAAGCUCUUUCGGCCGGGAAGAAAUCGCACGGGCUAAUACCCUGUGUGGAUGACGGUACCGGAAUAAGAAGCACCGGCUAACUACGUGCCAGCCGCCGCUGUAAAAC
rnacentral:rRNA from 1 species